CCGCCGUUCACAAAGACUACCACAUGAAGAGUGUCUUCUGCGACCCUCUCCUAAGACAACCUAUUCGCUGAAGUACUUGCGGAGAAGGGACAGAGCAGAAUGCCAGACCUUUCCCGGAGAGCCCAUGAUACAGGACGGGGUUUGCCUGUGUGUUUGUGUGAGCUGAUCAGGCUCAGAGGAAAAGUUGCAGUUAUGGAUCUCUUCUUUGAUGACUUCUGGGGCUUUUAUAUCCUGAGAAAUACUCUUCACUGUAAUGCAAGGGAAGCAGAUAUAAUGGCUAGAAGUUGAGCAGCCCUUUGGACCAUGAAGAUAAAGGUCACACCCUAGAGAUAGCAAACCGGAAAGCUAAAAGAAGCUAAAAGAAGUCUGGAUCCAUGAUAACUUUGUGGACCUUGCCAUACCAGCCCGCGAAUCUCAUCUCUGGGUGUUUUACAUGAGAACAACAUGUGAAGAAUUUAUAUUAUAUGGUUUUCCCUGGACAUAUUUUCUAGCUGAACCAAGCACAUCCGAAUGGGUCUGGCUGCUGCUGGGCAGCUGGAGAAGGGCACCCACAGUGUUCUGAGAAGAGUUGGAAGAACACCAGAGCUGAGAUGAGUCAGAGGCUCUCUAAGUGUGUGAAGCACCAGAUGGUGGUUAAGGGAAAGAAGAAAGCCUAAAGACUGUUGAAUUAAAGGAGAUUUCAAAGGAAUGGAAGGAAAAACACAAGUUGAAUUUUGAAAGGUUUAAUCAAAACAGAUGGCAGAAUAUCUCAGCCUGAGGGAAGGGGAAAAUUGUCUUAGAACCGAUCUGAAGUGGAAGCUUCUUCACCCUUGCUUCCUGGGUCUCUGUCUGAUGCCUCUCUGCAGGCUGACGGUUCAAGCUGGCUAAUGAGGAACGAGAGGUGGGGGAGGGAGGAGAUAAUAUCUAUGCCAGAGAUAAAAAUCAACAUUGUUGAAAUGUCUUUUUAAGUUACUGUAAUUACUGAUUUAUUAUUCAUGUGAUCUUUAUUUUCAGACAAAAAAUUAAAGAAAAAUAACCAACAAAA